rnacentral:rRNA from 1 species
AACGAACGCUGGCGGCAUGCCUAACACAUGCAAGUCGAACGAGACCUUCGGGUCUAGUGGCGCACGGGUGCGUAACGCGUGGGAACCUGCCCUUAGGUUCGGCAUAACUCCCCGAAAGGGGUGCUAAUACCGGAUAAUGUCUUCGGACCAAAGAUUUAUCGCCUUUGGAUGGGCUCGCGUUGGAUUAGCUAGUUGGUAGGGUAAAAGCCGACCAAGGCGACGAUCCAUAGCUGGUCUGAGAGGAUGAUCAGCCACACUGGGACUGAGACACGGCCCAGACUCCUACGGGAGGCAGCAGUGGGGAAUAUUGGACAAUGGGCGAAAGCCUGAUCCAGCAAUGCCGCGUGAGUGAUGAAGGCAUUAGGGUUGUAAAGCUCUUUUACCCGGGAUGAUAAUGACAGUACCGGGAGAAUAAGCCCCGGCUAACUCCGUG